CUUACACCUUCAGUGAGUUUCUUUAUUUGAGUUUCAUUUAAUUUCAGUUUUUGUUUCUUUCAAAAAGACGGGGAGAAGUGAACCCCCACUAAAAAGUUGGAAAGCAGUCCAGCUAAACUAAAAUGGUUGUUUUGUUAUUUUAGUUUGUUGUUUUAGUUAAUUGUUUUUGCCUGGAACUCGUGAGGGGGAAGGGUGAAGAUAGCGUUUAUUUUAUUUCAUGUUUGGAUCAAUGAAAUAAGGUUCCUGUGUGCCUGCUGACACAAACUCAUCAUAGAGAAACAGACUCUAGCCUGGUUGAAAAGGCCCAUUCUCAACAACACCCAGUGUUCUCAUAGGUUCCCGGAUUCCUACGUACCUGAGUGCAUAUGACAAAGUGGCAAAGAAUGUGAAAUAUGGUCGUAUUUACAAAUAUAGGUGUACUGUAUAUGGUAAUGAGGAAUAUGAUCUCGACCUUAC